UGUUCGGUAUCAUUGACAUCGACGACAUGAACCUUGGCCGUCGUCGCCAUGGAUUCGACGCCGCCUCCUCCUGCGCUCCCUGUGGUCUCGCAACCCUCCGCCACCAUCGCUGGAUCCAAACACUUCCUCCAUCGAUGCCUCCUAACGUUGUAUCCAUAUGUCUUCUAAGAGACCUCCGCACCCGGCCGUGAUUUCUGCAUCUACUCUGCCUAUUGUUUCACUGCUUGCAUCAAUCGCAUCGUCUUCUACUCAUGUAUUGUCUAUGGUAGCUCAAGGAGGGGUAUUGUCCUCAAGUACCUCAAAUGCCAAAAAAAGUUAAAAAAAAGUCAUCAGCAACAAAGCGGCUAAAAUCACCUGUCAUAAGAAUUGUGAGAUCUCUAGGUAUUCAGAUCAUGAUGUCACCUAUCCUAAGGUCAACAUCUACCACAAGGGCAUUAUCCCCCAUCUGCAACACAAGAGAGGUCCCCUUCGUCUUCUUCUGAUGAAGCGAUGAGGCUUAGACGUCGAGGGAGAGAUGGUUGUGGAAGCUCAGUGUGUUCAUUGUGGCAAAGUGCUUAAGGCAACAUGAGAUGUUGGCACUAGUAGUUGUCGUAGACAUUUAGCAAGUUGUGAGGGUAAAGCUAGAUUGGAUCAAAUGUGUUCUCAACUAAAAUUAUUUGGUACAUGUGUUGAUUCCCUUAAAAAUUGAAGAUUUGAUCACGAAGUUUCUUGGAAAAAGCUUUUGGAGCUAAUUGUCACUCAUGAGCUACCCUUUAUCUUUGUUGAAUACCCCAAGUUUAAAAGUUUUGUGGAUAGUUUAAAUCCAUGUUUUAAGUUUGUCACAAGAAAUACAAUAAAGGCUGAUUGUAUCAGUGAGUAUGAGAACCAAAAGAUAACCUUACGAGGGCUUUUGAGUGGAUUAAAUUCUAGGCUUUCCCUCACGACUGACAUGUGG